CUCGGUUCAAAACUGAACCGAAAAUGCAAGACUUGCUUUAAUUGUUUUCUUUCAAUUUCUUUCUGUAUUAUUUGCUAUUAUGGAACUCAUGUUAUUUACACUGUGCUUGAUCAAUACAUAUAAACACUGACAAAAAACAAUUAAAGCAAGUCUUGCAUUUUCGGUUCAGUUUUGAACCGAG
rnacentral:miRNA from 1 species